UACGGCGACAUCAUGUUGCAACACCUGUUCCCGUACAAUCACCGAAGGUAAGCAACAUCGAGCGUGGUCAGUACCUAGAUGGGUGACCGUUUGGAAAUACUACGUGCUGUAA